UUCAAGGAAGAUGUGUAUAACAGGGGACACGUAAAAUAUUUGUGUUGGAAUACGUAUGUAUAAAUUAUGUGUAUAUAUAAUUGGUGACAUGUAAUAUACAUGCAUGCAUACCAAAAUAAUUAAAAAUAAAAAGGGCUGUGGGGGAAGAACAAAGAGAGGGAGGUACGAGAAUCCCGCAUCCUACGGGCUACGGUCAAUGAGAUGGGACGUCAGAUUUGACGAUUAACAGUUAAAACAAUAAAUAAAAAGCAAAGAAACACGAGAUUGGACCCACC
rnacentral:lncRNA from 1 species